UUCCCAGAAGUUUGGGGCAGAAAAGCAACUCGCCCCAAACUUCGGGCACAGCCGCGAACCGCCCCCUCCUGCGGCGGCAGCUGCCGCUCCCCCCGCCGCCCUGCCCGUCCUUCGCUACGGCUCGUCCCCCGCAGCAAGGGCAAGGCGACGGGCUCCCGGGGACGAGCGGCUGCCAGCCCGUCCUCCCCACCCGCUCCCAGGCAGCGGGGAGCGCGACCCGCCAGGUAGAAAUGAAGAAAUUAUAAUACUUGAAGAUACACUGAAAAUCAUGUAAAACGUGAACAGAAUGCAAGAAGUUAUACAACUUGUCUUUCCAUGCCCUGAAAUAUAGUUCCAUGUACUGCUGCUUACAGGUUUGUCACUGUGGAAGCAAAGGAAACACUCCUCUCUUCGACAAUUCCCAUUCACAAUCUUGCUUGAUUUCAGAGUAUUACUGCUUUAAAAUACUGUCAACACCAACCAAAACAGCUACAGAACAGAAAUCCCUUGAGGUGAGAGUGCAUAUGGCCACAGCUUAAUUUCCAGCGCAGUCACAACACAGGUAACUGCCCUCCCAAACUCUACUAGUACAGGUAACAACACGCAUGAAGAUAAGUCGAAUGGACAAGCUGGAUAAGUGCCUUAAUCUCUUACCUGCGUGCCAGGUUCAUUCUACCAUGCUUUUACCAAUGUUGUUACACUGGUAGCUUUAACAGAUUGCAGAAAGCGCAGCUAUUGCACCUGCCUUUGCAACUUACCAGGUAAGAAACACAGUGCCACAGAGGUCUAUAUUUAGGAACACAAAAAGAGGGCUGUUCAGGAUCCAAACACAGUAUUUGCUCUCUCACACAGCAUCCCCUCUCCUUCAUCAUGGCACUUUUCACCUUGCCCCAGCUCUCACCAUGCUGACCAUUCCAGAACAAACAGCCCAAAAUCCCAAAGAGGCAGCAGGAGCAAGGAUUAGAGUUUCCAAAUGUGAGAGCCAGCUAGGAAAAUGGUGGAAGAGGAAGCAAUGGGAUAAUGCAGGAGGGAGGCAGCCUCUGUACACCUAAGAGCUCUGCCAAGUCUGAGCAAAUUGCAUCGCUUCUUGUGCCUAUGAAGCUGUGUUAUACACAAAGUAACAUCCAGGACGCAGUGAGUUAAGUCCUACAUACCAAAGGAUGCUCAUAGACCAGCAGACAGGGAAACUUCAGUUCCAGUGAAGACCAAUAGCAAUUGAUGGCAGAAGGAGGAGGAUGCAAGGGAAGGUACGCUGUCCGCUCUUCUUGGACUUCAGGAAGAAUGGAGUUGGCUCAUUCCUUAAGGACAAGUUUUUCUCUUAUUGGGGCCAUUCAACUUCUGAAGGAAUCUCCGAGCCCCCCCUACAAGUGCUCUGGAAUGAAAGUGUAUGUGGAAGAGACAAAAAGAAACAGCUGAAGCCAACAGACGUCUAUGCACUAAAGCUGUGAAGCACAACAGACUGUGAAAAGACAAAGUAGAAAAUACAGCAUAGCAAGAGAAAAACAUACGGAGGCUGAAAAAGGAGCAAAGGACGUGAUAUGAAAGACAAUCCAGAAAAAGGUAUAGCACAAUGAUAAUAAAGAGGCAAAACCAAGCAAACAUCCCCCCCCAACACUGAACAAAGCCCAGAAGAUUUAGAAAUAUGCGCAUCUUAAAAAAAACUGGGCUAAGUUAAAGUGCUGUAAGUGUCGUCUCCAAACAAAGCAGAUGCACCCAUCAUUCUGUGAAACUGCCCAGGAGAUAAAAGAAAGAGUCCUUUUUCCAGACUGGAAAAAUGUGUUAUAAUAGAAGACUGAAUAUUACCAGUAUGUAGUCUUCAUUACCCAUGUUAAGAGAUAUGCAAAAAGUCAGUCAGAAUAACAAGGAAUAAAGAAUCUGUAAUUUUAAAGCUAUUUUCAUAACAGAACAGGUUACAGCACAUGUGAGAAAAGUUACUUUUGUCAGUACCCAGAGUUUUGUUGUUUUGGUUUGUUUUAAAUCUUUGUUUUCUUGAAUGACUGCUACCACCCAAAAAGAAGUCUGAAUUAAGUCAGCAUUCUUGUUUACAACUUUUUUUUUCUUUUUCCCAAGACCUUAUCCAGGAAAUACUGAUAAACAGGAUAACUGCUUGUCAAAGUCAGCUGAAGAUACAUGGAGCUGUUCAUACCAUGAAUGCCCAGCCUUGGCAAACUGACCUGCUUUACUACUUCAAAUAAAGCAUGAAUGGACUCAUCUGA